rnacentral:lncRNA from 1 species
CAUCUCCCUCAGACCUCUCUUCCUGCUCUUUCUAGACUGUGGGCACUGUGUGGAGCAGCCUCUAGUGCUCACAGCAUGUUUCUUCCACAACAGUUUCAGGAUCUGCUAAAGCAGCAAUAAAUGAAGAUGAAAGAAAUCAAACUGAAAAACAAGGAGAAUGCAAUCCUCAUCUAAUACGUGCUUGGCUGGUGAAACUCUAGCUGAAAGAUGUUGUGAAAGCCAGCUACUUGCAUGGUUUUGAUGGUAGAUUGAGCAAGCCAACAGAAGAUGGAGACUCAGGAAGACAAGGCCAGCCUGUCACCUCUGGUAGUUACUGUGUAGUUAAUAACUUUUCAGGAGAAACCAUCAAGAUCCCAUGGAUAAUUUGGCUGCCUCCUGGAAUUACUUGUGCCUAGGGCUUCCUUAACACAACAGGAUAAUUCCCCAAGAGGAUGAUUGUUGGUUGGGAAUGGAUACAUAGGAUUUCAGAAGAUAAAAUCAAAGAGCAGGACCAGGACUCCGAAGAGACCACAUCUCAAGAACAGGUUGGUUACUUUUUUGCUAUGUUAUUGGGUGGCUUUUGGCAAGCUUAUGACCUCCAUCCAUAGUCAUAAAUCAGAGUUAAUCUGUUUUUUCUUCCCUUUGCCAUUUAUCAUAUAUGUAGGCUGUCUGCUAAGAAAUCAGGCUUCCUCCCGCACCAAAAACAAACACGAAAAUAAUCCUAAUUCAUGGCUGGUGAAGAAUCUAACCACUGCAGAUAUUGCAGUGUGUGAACUGGUGUCUUCAGGUUUGCAGAAGUGA